CCGGAGCUGAGCAGCUGCUCUGACAAGCCGCUGAGCUGCUGAGCACAGAUUUGGAGACAAGCUGUGUCCAGGCUGAAGCAGGGGGGCCGGGGCCACUGCUCCUGGAGGCUGAUGUGUCCUCCGGCCCUGUGGGGGCACAUAUUUGAGGAAGAGAUUCGCUCCCCCUGAGCGUGUUUCCUGGACAUUUUGUGCUGUGCCCACCAGCUGGAAGAGCAUUAACAACCCCACUGGGAGUAAGUGGGGUAGGAUUCCUGGGGUCUGAGCAGGCCUCCUGGAACAGAUUGUCCCGGGGCCAGAAGACAGCAGUCUGGAAGUUUCUGCGAGGCCUUCCCGUGUGAGAAUGACCACACUGCAGUCACGGGCACGGUGGGGUGCAGUUCCAGGACAGUCAUGUUUGUACUCAUGCCUCCUUCUGGGGUAGGUAUUGCAAACCCCCAACACAGAUGAGGGGUUUCUCUCUACCCUCUGAGAAGUGACACAGUGACAUCAGACCCUGCUCCCUUCACCUCUUAGCUGGGUCAUGUGCUCCUUUCCUCUCAAAUAUUGGGGGAUUACUAAAGGUAUUUGAUCUUAAAGAGCCCGAGAAUGCCCUGCUGCAGAUGCUGGGGCCCAUGGCAUGGCCUAGGCACACAUCCUGUCUCUCCUGGGAGGCCCGUGCCUCUGUCAACAUCAGGUCCCAUCAUUGCCCAGGCCUUACCAGCUCAGGUUCUGCUGUCUCUGAGAGGCUUCCAGACUGUUCCCAGCCCAUGUACUCUUCCCCACCCUCCUCCCACCUCCCAUUGCUCAGAACCAUGAUACGCUGACCUUAGGUGCCAGAUUUGUGCCCACUGUGGGCAUGGAAAAGUGUCCCAAUGUGCAGGGGAUGGAGGGUCCAGUACACAGUCUGAGCAGAGGGCACAGGGGAAGUCUGGGCCCAGCCAGGCCCCUGGGCACAGGGAGGAGGCUGUGGGCAACAACUGGGGCAGGCAGGGUCCGGAUGAGCUGUGGGAUCCCGAGGUAGCAGCCCCUCUGCCCAGAGCCUGGGUGACAGAGAGGCUCAGAAAGGGGAGGCACCCCCCACAGGUGGCCAGCCCCUGCAUGGUGGUGCCCCGGAAGGCAGGGCCUACUUUCUGGCAAUGAGGAAGGGGCCCUUGUGCAGGCAGGUGGUCUAGGCCAGGAGGGAGAAAGCAGCAUGGCACUGCCAUUGGUAGCAGAGAGAGCCAGGGACUCACAGGAGACACCCCGGGGGCACUUGCAGGUUCUGGGAGACAUCUGGAGGAAGGAGGUGCUACAUCAGCAGAGUUGGGAGCUGAGGAAGUGGACUUACUGCAGGGAACCAGCUGAGGAGGCCCUGGAACCUCCGGUGUAAGAAUUCCGAGGGUGACUGUUGCUUAAGCAGUUUGCAUGCAGAUUUCAGUGGGUCCUCCCAGGCCUUGCAGUGUAGGUAUGGCUUUUAUGCCCUCUGGAAAGCUGAACAAACUAAGGCUUGCAGGGCUCUGGUGAGCGGCAGAGCAGGGUGACAGCAAGGCCACCCCAAGGCUCUGCACAGGCCACCUGUGGUGGCUCACAGCCAUCCGUUGUCACUUUGUGGCUUCAUGGGUAAAGCCACCUCCCUAAUGCAGCUGCAAGCCCUGGGGUGGGCAUGAGUCUCAGAAUUUUGGAACCCGUUUGUCCCCUGACAUAGGCCAGGCAGCUGCAAAGUAGCCCAUAGAGACCUGGAUCUUCUCUGAUGGGGGUGCUGGAGGCUAACCGCUGGGGUGUGGUGAGGGAUGGCUAGUGUGGGCUCUCACAGCCCCAGGAGAUGGACUCACUGUCCCUAGGCUGCUCACGGGCACUGCUGUUUGGAUGGCUUGGAGCCUUGGCUGGUGGGGUGCUGGACUCCCUCUGUGCUCAUCAGAUGCCCGACUUCCUGAGUGGGGAAAGGGAAGGCUCGGGGAUCCCUCCCACAAACCCUGGCUCCGGCCUCCAUUCAAGCAGUGUUGGGUUUGUCUGGAAAGUCUGGCCACUGCUGUCACCAUAGAUUGACGGCGGGGCAGGAACUGAAGUACCCAUCAUGUGUCCACUCUGGCUUUCAGGAUUUUACCGAGAGUGUUCACUGCUCCAGACACGUCCCCAGACGCAGGGCUGCUCAUGGUAUUUGAGUGUCCAGUACAGCGUCACGACGCCAGCCUGUAUUUAUUUGGAAAUGUCACAUUCAUGAUUGUUUUUCCAAUCUCCAAGUGAAUCUGAGUGAGACUCUCUAUUUUUUGACGACUACCUUUCAACUCAAGUUAUGGUUUUAUAAAUAAUAUAUAUGGCAAGUCGGUGCUGGGGAAAGGACGUUCAUUCGGCUCUGAAAUAUUUAUGGCCCGGAGUGUCUGCUUACUUUUCUUUGGAGUCAUCUUUUCAGCGCGGCGUGCCAGAAAGCGCGACAGCCGGGCCAUCUUCGGAGGCGGCGGCCGCGUGGCCCUUCCAGCCUAUCCAUCCUGGGCCGCCGGGGAGGUGGCAGCUCUGCCCAGACCUCCUCAAUUAUCCCCGGGAAGGCUCUGCGCGGGUGACAGGAAUCAGCGCCACUGCCUUCCAAGCAGACGGUGCUUUCCGGCGCGGCCUGAAUUGUAACAGACGCUGCAUCAGCCUUACUGGGACGUGCUCUUGAAUCCUCGGGCCUCUCCCAGGCCGCCUGCAUCUUAGCCCCCAUUUUGCGGGCGGGGAAACUGAGGCUCGGCAAGGUUAAGGAAUUUCUCAAGGUCAAGGCCGUAAUCAAGCAGGAGCCUGGAUUUUCACCCAGCCUGGCUGACUUCAUGUCUCAAUUUUUUCCUCCUUAUCCCGAGCUGCUGCCCAGCCGGCCCCACCGCCCCGCUGAAGCUGGGGGCCAGCAAGUGGAUUGCGGAUCACUUUCCACGGCUGCGCACGCCCGUCUGCGACGGUUGGAAAUGCUAGGGGCUUGGAUCUGGGAAGAGCAAUCUGCUCUGAACAGCCGGGCUUGAAUCCCAAUCCUACGGCAAUGGAUGCGUUCCUGCAUGUGCUGAAGUGGGGCAGAUGGUGCUGGAAAGACCCAGGCGUCGUCUUGUCUGAAUCCCCAUGUUACAGGUGGGAGACUAAGAGCCUGGCAGGGGUAGGGAUUUGCCCAAGGCCAUAGAGAUACUUGGAGCCCAUUGGUCACAGUGGUGGCUCUUGGAGGCUAGUCAUCUGGCCAACCUCGCCUCCCUCCCAUUACCCUUCUUCUUCCAGGGGAAAAUCAACACUUGGAGAAGGAAAAGUUUGAUCAGCCUCAACACACUGGAUGAAUAUAGAGCUGUGUACUUCCUUGGUCUGGCUGAAAAUCCACGAGUGACUUAAAUAAUUUUGAGACUGCUUGAGGAAAAACUAAAAUUCCAGGGCAUUUCUAAACUGGUUGGACCAUGGAGUGGGCUGUAGUUAAUAAAUUUCAGAUACUUAAUCAGUGAUCGGACUGAGUAGUGAGGCCUGGAAUAUCUCAUAC